CGGCGGACGGGUGAGUAAUGCCUAGGAAUCUGCCUGGUAGUGGGGGACAACGUUUCGAAAGGAACGCUAAUACCGCAUACGUCCUACGGAGAAAGCAGGGACCUUCGGGCCUUGCGCUAUCAGAUGAGCCUAGGUCGGAUUAGCUAGUUGGUGAGGUAAUGGCUCACCAAGGCGACGAUCCGUAACUGGUCUGAGGGGAUGAUCAGUCACACUGGAACUGAGACACGGUCCAGACUCCUACGGGAGGCAGCAGGG
rnacentral:rRNA from 1 species